rnacentral:rRNA from 1 species
GUUAAUGCUAGGAUUGAUUGUGAAAAGGAUACUGUUACAAUUGGCUUAGAGGAUAUGUCUCAUGAGUUUAAUUUUGCUAAGUUUCAUAGACAACCUUGUGAUAGAGAAUCACCUAGUAAGGAUGAGAUUAUUGGUCUUGCUUCUAUUGCCAUGCCUCCUACCGAUUCGUUAGAACAAUAUUUGCUAGACGAUGAAAAUGAUAUGUUUAUGAAGGAAAGAAGGGAAAUAGAUAAAUUGUUCCUUCAACAUGAACCUAUUCUGAAACAUAACCUUCCCGUUGAAAUUCUAGGGGACCCCCUGUAA